AGGCUUGGCAGAGGCAGGGACACGGGGUCAUGGCCUGGAGCAGAGCUACACCAAACAGUGCACCCCGAACUCUCACUCAGUGCUUCCAGCGCUCCGGGCAGGAAGCUGCCUGGACACCAGUCUUAGCAAUGAAGACGCAGGCUGCCUACUGGAUGAAGAAGCUGGAGGCAGGAGAAGAAAGGCCUUUCUGAAAAUGCCUCAUCUUUGAGGGAAGAAAAUUCGUCCAGACCUGACUUGUCUGUGAUAAGGGCCAACGUCACUUCUGAGGUAGCACCCUUAACCUGUCCUUUACUAUUUCUUGGUGCUGACCACUAACCGGUGGCCUCAGGAAGUGGGCCACACCAUGGGAGACGUGUCGGCAAUGCCCACCCACCGAUUCUAAGAGUGUACAGGAGUGCCUUUUGUGUUGGGAUCUUGUUCUGAAAGCAAAGAGUCAGGGAGAGCUGAAACUGGAAAUCCGGGCCAAGCCACAGCCGGGGAAGUCACAGGCCCAGAGAGGAAGUGCUAGUUGCUGCUCUGUUAAAAGGACAUGCUGUGCCCGUCAAACUGUCUUCUAAAUGAUCACAUUCACGUCCAUAGUUUAGCGCCACUAUCACCACUAGCCACAGAGCUUCUUGCUGCAGCGGGCAGUAAUAACUGCACAGACUCAGAACUCAUCAAAGUGUUGAGAAUAAGCAAGUGUGGCUGUGGAACACUUGGCCUUAAGUGGGACUUCUACAUCACCCCUUCCAACGCUCAGGAACACUAUGGGAGAGAUGAAAGAGCUGAGGAUGGGACAGAGUGCUCUGGAAUGCUCUUCUCUGGGCACGGCAUGGCUACUGCACUCUUGAACACAUAGCCUUUGUAAGACUUGCGUAAGACUGGACCCAUCAAUAGCCUGUCAUGGGGAAGAGGGGGCCUCUGCAGUAAACCACUGGUCAGCUGCUCAGGCUCCUGACUCUAGUGACACACACCCCGUGAACGGGAAAGUGGACUAGUUGGAAAGGAGGGGAACAUUUAGAGUGGGAAGAGGACAGAGAAUAGUGGGAGGGGAAUGGAAUUAAAAUACAUUAUAUACAUGCCUGAAAAUGCUAGAAUGAAAUUCACUGUUAUGGGCUGGGCAUGAUAGUACACACCUUUAAUCCUAGCGCCUGAAAGGGGCAGGUGGAUCUCUGAGUUAGAAGUCAGUCUGAUCUACAGUUCAAGGCAGCCAGGGCUAUACAAUGAGAUCCUGCUUCAAAAAAAGGGCUGAGGUCUGGAGAGAUGGCUCAGUGGCUAAAAGCACAGGCUGCUCAUCUAGAGGAGUUGGGUUUGUAUCCCAGUUCCCACAUGACAGUUCACAACCAUCUAAAACUCCAGUUCCCAGAAUCUGCUGCCUGCUCUGGCCUCCGCAGGAACCAAGCAUGCAAACAAAACACAUAAAUUUUUUACAAACUUUUAAGAAGAAACUCAUUAUUAUGUAUAAUAUAUACUAAUAAAGCAUCAUCAUCAUCAUUACUUGAGAUAGGAUCUCAUUAUAUAUCCUUGGCUGGCCUGGAACUCAAUACAUAGAUCAGGCUGGCUUCAAACUCACAGAAAUCCACCUGUCUCUGCUUUUCAAGUGCUGGGACUAAAGGGGAGCAUGAAGCUGGAGGGACAGCUCAGUGGUUUAGAGCACUUCCUGCUCUUCCAGAGGACCAGAGCUUGGUUCUCAGCACCUGGGGGGGGGGGGCAGCCCACAAUGGCUGUGACUCCAACUCCAGGGGAUCCCAGGCCUCUGGCCUCUUUGGACACUAGCACUCAUGUGAACAUACCCACAUGCAAACACAUAAAUACCUACACAAAAUUAAAGUAAUAAAUAAAUGAUAAAUCUUUAAAAGCAUCAUCCCACACCUGGCUAUAAAACAUUUUUGAAAAGAUACAAAGCAAAAAAAGAAAGAAAGAAAGAAAGAAAGAAAGAAAGAAAGAAAGAAAGAAAGAGAGAAAGAGAGAGAGAGAGAAAGAAAAAAGAAAAAAUACAAAGCCGGGCACUAGUGGCGUACAUCUUUAAUCCCAGCUCUCAGGAGGCAGACAGGUGAUCUCUGCUUCAAAAAACAAACAAGCAAGCAAACAAGUUUGCACUGGCAGGUGUUGUGGAGCGUGUCUUUAAUCCCAGCACUCAGCACUUAAGAAGCAGAGGCUGGAAAGAUGACUCAGAUGUUAAAAGCUAGGCUCACAACCAAAAACAAUAGGUAGAAGCCAGGCAAUGGUGGCACAUGCCUUUAAUCCCAGCACUCGGGAGGCAGAGGCAGGCAGAUCUCUGUGAAUUCGAGAUCUGGUCUACAGGAGCAAGUUCCAGGACAGGAUCCAAAGUGACAGAGAAACGCUGUCUUGAAAAACCAAUUAAAAAAAAAAAAAAAAGUAGAUGUAAGCAUGAGAUGGUAGACGUUCUGGUCAUUGCAUAGGUGUAAAUGAGGAAACAGGCCCUGCACUCAAUGAAUAUGUAUACUUAUGGCAGCAGUCACCUGUAAGUCCAGUACCUAGCGGGCAAACAAAGAGAAUCACUGAAUGUUUGAGGCCAGCUUGGUGUACAAAAGUAACCCCCUGUCUCAAAACAGAAGUAAAAAAGGGGCAGCAUGCACAGACCUGGUUCAGUACCCAGCAGCACAAGGCGAAAACGAGUUAAAGACUAUUUCCUAUAAUAACAAAAUCCCAGGAAAGGAGGCAGCAUUCUUCAAAGGAGGCAGCUAUUUUAGGGCAGGGCCCUGACCUAAGAAGACUUUGUGCCCGGGAUUAACCUGGCACCAGCUAGGUUGUCAUGGAAGAAGGGGGCUUUAAGGACCAGGCAGGUAAAGGCUAGAGAUGUCAUUCAACCAGCAGAGCAAAUGAAGCCCUGGGAGACUCUGGGCAGGCUCCUGGCUACGGCACUAUCGUCUAUGCAAAUGAAGUUUCCUUCAAUCAGCUGGUUUCUUGCUUUGGAAAGCAACGGGAGUGACUUACAUUCACAAAGGAUUCCCGAGCGCACGGAGCACUGCCCACCACACCAAACCUUAUGAAUACGUGUCCAGCAGGCGAGCACCAAGGCCACACCGGGAUCAAAGAUUUCCCCACAGAGCACUUCAAGGCUGCCUGUGCCAGCUCCUUGCUGGUGUCCUCAGCUCCCUCCAGUCCUCAUACCACUUCCCAGAUUGAGAGAAUCUGAGAAUCAGCUUCCCACUGCUUUUCUUCUCCGUUUUCUUCUUCCUCCUCUUUUUUUCUUUUUCAAGACAGACAGAGUUUCUCUGUGUCUUGAGAAGUUGGCUUGCCCUGCCUUGUCUUGCCCUGGCUGUCCUGAAACUCGGCUCUGUAGACCAGGCUGGCCUCGAAUUCAUGAGUGCUGGAAUUAAAGGUGUGCACCACCUCCUCCAACCCCCAGUUCCCACUGCUUUUUUUUUUUAAGACUUAUUUAUUUCAUGCCUAUGAGUGCUCUAUCUGCAUGUAUAUCUUUAAGCCAGAAGAGAGCAUCAGAUCCCACUUUAGAUGGUUGUGAGUCACCAUGUGGUUGCUGGGAAUUGAACUCAGAACCUCUGAAAGAGCAGCCAAUGCUCUCAACCGCUGAGCCAUCUCUCCAGUCCCCUCCCCCUGCUUUUCAAAUGGGAAAAAAAAAAAAAAAAAAAAAAAAAAACCUGGUUUACUUCUCUUAGAAGAGAAAUCAGACCAUUUCCAACACUAGCAGACAGGUUGCACCUUGAGCACACAGAAAGACACUUUCACUAGCUGGGGCAAAAGAGGACUGGCUGAGAUUCCAAGGGGCCAUGGAGCAGGGCUGAGAACAGAGAGGCACGGAAUGACUAAGGCUGUGAUUACUUGAGCCUGAUCAUCCAGAAGAGGAUGCACGAAACUGCUAGCCAGGAGACUGGAAGCUGAAAGAUUAAGACACAGCUACCUGAGGCAACAGGAGCCAGGAAGUCUCCCACAGGAAGCCCUUCUGUGCUGGACAGAGUUCACAAAAACCUGCCUGGAAUCAUAAACCGAAGCCAGCAUGAAGCCUCAGUCUUACACCAAGGCUGAGCGGGAGGGGCCUGGAUACGGCUCUAAGUUGACUUAAAGGAGGCAGCCAGGCUGAGAGCUCACUGUUCACGACCCAAAACUUCCCCGUGGAAAAGGUAAAAAGUCCUUCAGGGAGAUUAAUGAGUCUCAGGCUCGCUCAUCUCCAACCAGGCCUGUGCUGCCUCAGCCAAGCUGUUAGCAGCACCUUGGGUUUUCUGGCAAUGUAGGGACAAUACAGUGUCUAGGUGACAACUUCAUAUUGAAGGCAUGACAUAGAGGAGACAAGGCUGGCCAGAUCAGUCCACCCAGUGUGUCCCAGAAGGGGACUUUUGUCAUACCGCCCCUCUGUGAAAGGCUGGGGCAAUGAACACACUCAGAACUCACAGGUGAGUCGCUAAAGGUUCACAGGGACAUCGAGUACACAGGAGAUGCCAGUUCCAAUGACUGCUUAUCACUGUCAGAGCUCUGGUGAGCACACAGCCUUCUCCCCCGUUGCCAAACUACUCUUGCAGGCAAGGCCUGGGGCCCAUUUCCCCCAUAAUCUCUGAGGAAUUAGCACUGCAAUUGGAGCCUCCUCACCCGGGAUGUAGAACAAAGAUUCUUUCAGGAGGCGCCUGUAGUGUCCUCUGCCCCACAGCAAAAGUCAGGUAGGAGAUGCCAAUCAUGAUGUCAAAUAGAUAAAGCCCUGUGCUGAAAACUCCAGAGUUACCACCCCCUUCGAGAGUUACUCAAAUGCCUGUCCUUUGGGGAUAGGCUCCCCAGCACCCAUUAAUCUAUCUUCUGACAUCCCCAUCAAAUGUUAAGCCCCAAAAGGCACUGGGGGUGGGGGUGGGGAGUCAAUCUACAGCCAAACCCCAAACAAAUCCUGAACGAGAGCUGUCCAGUGUUGUGGUCCACAUGGCCUGCAGUUCUGCCCUCAAAUCUAAACCCUGACCUACAAGCAGCCCCAGGAGUGUGGGGAAAACUACAGACAGGAGAUAAGGGCGUGGGGUGUCCUCUGGGGCAAAACAAGGCCACAGGGGCAGGGGAGUGCAGAAGGAAGGACUCAGAUAAGAGAUUUAAAGAUGUUACAUUUGCUCAAGCUCCGCCUGCAGCGCUAGCCAGUUGAACACUAUAUAAUCAGCCCUGGGGAAAAGAAAACCUUUAUUGUUGAAGUGAUGAGUCUUAUGUCUACCGCGACCCUUCUCUCCAGGUCCGUGAUGCCCACAGCUCUGCAGGUGUGGCAGCUCAGGAUGCGACCACCACACUGUUGGCCAGCAGACAAAGAGGGUGAUGGUACAUUCUCUCCUACCAGAACAGGCCCCUUUGAGCAGGUCCACAUCAGCCAGUGGUGAUCCUGACCUACAACUGUCGCGCAUAGCCCCGUCACCCAUUCCAGUGUGGACAGAGUGCCAUUGGCUCCCUGCACCUGGUUCUCGUGUUGCUAACUGUUUUUGUUUUUAAGACUGGGUUACACUAUGUGUUUCUGGCUGGCUUGAACUCAGAAAUCCUCCUGCCUCUGCCUCCCAAGUACGGUGCCACUGUGCCUGGUAAUUCUCAGGCUUUUUACAGGGAAUGUGUGGAUCAUGUGUCUGCAGGAACAUUCAGAGUUCUUCUCCAGAGACUGCAUGAAACAGCAAAAAGUAUAGCCUAGGAGAACCCUCCAGUCAGACUCAGCAGGUGAGAGGAAGAUGAAAGAUGUCCAGAUGAACCAGUCUGCACAUGGCAGGAAGUCACUGCCAAGACUCAGGACCCCCCAAAAUUGUGACCAGACUAAGAAGUUUAACAGGACAGAUGGCCAGCGCACCUCACUGUUUGGCUGGAAGCGUCACCUCGGCCCCUAACAUCCUUAUCCAAAAAAAGUCUGGAAUGUUUGGUUGGGGGCUUCACCCAGCUCCUGGCACCCAUUAACACUCACCAAGAAGGAAAUUGAGGCAUUUCCCCAAAUUCAAUUCGGAGGGGACAGACUGGGGACUGGAGCUAGGUGUUAGUAAAAGGACACCAGCCCACAACAGUGACCUGCAAGGACUCAACUGAACUGGGCAGGAGCUCCUAAUCAAAUGUAAAAAUCUGCCUUUGAUCCCAGCAUCAGGAGGCACAGGCUGGAAGAUCUCUGUGAGUUCGAGGUCAGCCUCCUUUACAGAGUUAGUUCCAGGAACCAGGGAUACAAAGAGAAACUCUGUGUCAAAACACAAAAUAAAACAAAAACUUGCCUUUCCACUCCCCAGGGCUAUCGUGAGGACUAAGGGAUGACUAACACGGUUCUGGAGAGAAGUUGUGCAAUUCUAAGGAGCUGUGUUAAAAGCCAGCAGGAGUUUCUUCCCUGAGUCUCCGACUGACAAGGCUCCAUCAGAAAGCACGCCCGCCGCGGGGCAGCUCACUGCAAGCCAAAAGUUAACCCAACUCCCUGUCUAUCUGUGUAACCUACAAAGCCAGAUGGACUAGAAAAACAACCUCGGAGAAGUCCAAGUUUUAAAACAAUACAACCUCAGAAAUGGCCAUUCUCCAAGGCCAGGGGACAGGCGAGGACAUCUCCAAGGCCAGAACAGGGGGCCAAUGCAGCCAGGGCACGCCAAACUCAGCGGGUGUCUCCCUCCCCAGAAGCAGGUAGAGGGUACAGAGCAGCUUCCCGUGGAGACCCGGAGGGGGUGCGCCGCGAACGAGGGCAGGAGGGACAAGACCCUGGGAUGUCCCUGGUCCCCAGCCGACCCCGCGAGAGAGCAGGCAGUGCGCAGGCGCACCGGCCGGGCGCUCACUCCACGGCGCUGGGUAGCAUGGAGGGGCCACGCCCCCAAGACGUGCAGGCCUCUGCCUCGCCGCAGCGCCCCCUUGAGGUCGCCAGCGGCAUAGUAUCAUGGGAGAGCCCAGUUUCAUGCUCAGAGCAAAGAGGCACUUCCGGUGUUCUGCCUGCACGCCAGAAGAGGGCACCAGAUCAUCUGCUGGAAACUGAACUCAACACCUCUGAAAGAGCAGCCAGUGCUCUUACCCUCUUGAGCCAUCUCUCCAGCCCCAAGUUACUGAUUUUUUUUAAAUGCUGAUCUGUUCUUCAUACUAUUUUUAAUUUUUUCCUUUUUCUUUUCCCUUUGGUCCUUCUUUCCUUCCUUUCUUUGUAGUUUUUCAAGAUAUGGUUUCUCUGUGUAGCCCUGGCUGUCCUGAAACUAUCACUCUGUAGCCCAGGCUGAACUCACAGAGAUCUGGCUGCCUCUGCCUUCCAAGUACUGGGAUUAAAGGCAUGUGCCAUCAUGUCCAGCAA